rnacentral:misc_RNA from 1 species
GAAAUGCGAUACCUGGUGUGAAUUGCAGAAUCCCGCGAACCAUCGAGUCUUUGAACGCAAGUUGCGCCCGAGGCCACUUGGCCGAGGGCACGCCUGCCUGGGAGUCACGCCAAACACGCUCCCACCACUCAUCGGGUUGUGGGAUGCGGCAUGUGGCCCCCCGUCUCGCAAGAGGCUGUGGGCCAAAGAUGUGGCUGCCGGCGUAUCGUGCCGGACACAGCGCGUGGUGGGCGAACUCGCUUUACUUACCGCAGUGCGUUCGGCCCGUAGCCGACGUGAUGGCCUUGGACCCUAUGAACGGGGCGCAUGACGCUCUGACCGCGACCCCAGGUCAGGCGGGACUACCCGCUGAAUUUAA